rnacentral:Y_RNA from 1 species
GGCUGGUCUGAGUGCAGUGGUGUUUACAACUAAUUGAUCACAACCAGUUACACAUUUCUUUGUUCCUUUUCCACUCCCACUGCUUCACUUGACCAGCCUUUA